rnacentral:rRNA from 1 species
CACAACGUAGGCGGAAUUCGUCGUGUAGCGGUGAAAUGCUUAGAUAUGACGAAGAACUCCGAUUGCGAAGGCAGCUUACGGGAGCACAACUGACGCUGAAGCUCGAAGGUGCGGGUAUCAAACAGGAUUAGAUACCCUGGUAGUCCGCACAGUAAACGCUGGAUGCCCGUUGUUAGUUCACCUAAGAAUUAGCGACCAAGCGAAAGCAUUAAGCAUCCCACCUGGGGAGUACGCCGGCAACGGUGAAACUCAAAGGAAUUGACGGGGGCCCGCACAAGCGGAGGAACAUGUGGUUUAAUUCGAUGAUACGCGAGGAACCUUACCCGGGCUUGAAUUGCAGACGAACGAUUCAGAGAUGAUGAGGCCCUUCGGGGCGUCUGUGAAGGUGCUGCAUGGUUGUCGUCAGCUCGUGCCGUGAGGUGUCGGCUUAAGUGCCAUAACGAGCGCAACCCCUUUUUUCAGUUGCCAUCAGGUAAUGCUGGGCACUCUGGAGAUACUGCCACCGUAAGGUGUGAGGAAGGUGGGGAUGACGUCAAAUCAGCACGGCCCUUACGUCCGGGGCUACACACGUGUUACAAUGGCCGGUACAGAGAGUUGGUUGUAUGCAAAUACGAUCUAAUCCUUAAAGCCGGUCCCAGUUCGGACUGGGGUCUGCAACCCGACCCCACGAAGCUGGAUUCGCUAGUAAUCGCGCAUCAGCCAUGGCGCGGUGAAUACGUUCCCGGGCCUUGUACACACCGCCCGUCAAGCCAUGAAAGCCGGGGGUGCCUGAAGUCUGUGACCGCAAGGAACGGCCUAGGGCAAAACUGGUGAUUGGGGCUAAGUCGUAACAAGGUAGCCGUACCGGAAGG